rnacentral:tRNA from 1 species
AGAAACUUAGGAUAGCCACUACAAACCGAAGGCCUUCAAAGCCUUAAACAAGAGUUGAACCCUCUUAGUUUCUG